GACGAACGCUGGCGGCGUGCCUAAUACAUGCAAGUCGAACGAACUCUGGUAUUGAUUGGUGCUUGCAUCAUGAUUUACAUUUGAGUGAGUGGCGAACUGGUGAGUAACACGUGGGAAACCUGCCCAGAAGCGGGGGAUAACACCUGGAAACAGAUGCUAAUACCGCAUAACAACUUGGACCGCAUGGUCCGAGUUUGAAAGAUGGCUUCGGCUAUCACUUUUGGAUGGUCCCGCGGCGUAUUAGCUAGAUGGUGGGGUAACGGCUCACCAUGGCAAUGAUACGUAGCCGACCUGAGAGGGUAAUCGGCCACAUUGGGACUGAGACACGGCCCAAACUCCUACGGGAGGCAGCAGUAGGGAAUCUUCCACAAUGGACGAAAGUCUGAUGGAGCAACGCCGCGUGAGUGAAGAAGGGUUUCGGCUCGUAAAACUCUGUUGUUAAAGAAGAACAUAUCUGAGAGUAACUGUUCAGGUAUUGACGGUAUUUAACCAGAAAGCCACGGCUAACUACGUGCCAGCAGCCGCGGUAAUACGUAGGUGGCAAGCGUUGUCCGGAUUUAUUGGGCGUAAAGCGAGCGCAGGCGGUUUUUUAAGUCUGAUGUGAAAGCCUUCGGCUCAACCGAAGAAGUGCAUCGGAAACUGGGAAACUUGAGUGCAGAAGAGGACAGUGGAACUCCAUGUGUAGCGGUGAAAUGCGUAGAUAUAUGGAAGAACACCAGUGGCGAAGGCGGCUGUCUGGUCUGUAACUGACGCUGAGGCUCGAAAGUAUGGGUAGCAAACAGGAUUAGAUACCCUGGUAGUCCAUACCGUAAACGAUGAAUGCUAAGUGUUGGAGGGUUUCCGCCCUUCAGUGCUGCAGCUAACGCAUUAAGCAUUCCGCCUGGGGAGUACGGCCGCAAGGCUGAAACUCAAAGGAAUUGACGGGGGCCCGCACACGCGGUGGAGCAUGUGGUUUAAUUCGAAGCUACGCGAAGAACCUUACCAGGUCUUGACAUACUAUGCAAAUCUAAGAGAUUAGACGUUCCCUUCGGGGACAUGGAUACAGGUGGUGCAUGGUUGUCGUCAGCUCGUGUCGUGAGAUGUUGGGUUAAGUCCCGCAACGAGCGCAACCCUUAUUAUCAGUUGCCAGCAUUAAGUUGGGCACUCUGGUGAGACUGCCGGUGACAAACCGGAGGAAGGUGGGGAUGACGUCAAAUCAUCAUGCCCCUUAUGACCUGGGCUACACACGUGCUACAAUGGAUGGUACAACGAGUUGCGAACUCGCGAGAGUAAGCUAAUCUCUUAAAGCCAUUCUCAGUUCGGAUUGUAGGCUGCAACUCGCCUACAUGAAGUCGGAAUCGCUAGUAAUCGCGGAUCAGCAUGCCGCGGUGAAUACGUUCCCGGGCCUUGUACACACCGCCCGUCACACCAUGAGAGUUUGUAACACCCAAAGUCGGUGGGGUAACCUUUUAGGAACCAGCCGCCUAAGGUGGGACAGAUGAUUAGGGUG
rnacentral:rRNA from 2 species